ACUCUGACUCUGAAUCAGACAAAUGUGAAAACUCUGCAUGUACAGGAUUCCUUCCUGUGUUUCCCAUGCCUGGCAGCGUUUGGCAGGUUUCUUGUAUUGUGCCUCGGUGACAAGACAGCUGACU